AUUGCGAACUGCUUUACAUGAUUUGCAAAUGCUUUAUUUUAUUUUAAAUUUAAAUCGCAUGAACUAUUAUACAUAGUUUUGAAACCGAUUUAGAUUCAUUGUAACAUGCUUACUAUUGGGCGGCAAUAGUGCUGUGUGAUCACCGGUAUUGCAUUUAGAAUGUGUUUGCAUAAAAAUGGUAUGUGGAAAUCCGGACGACGGUCUGUAAGUCUGAGACGACGGUCCAGAUAUAUGGAAACAGAUCUUCAGAGGCAACGGAAUAUAGACGACCAAAGGCAGGCGAGUAGUUUGAGGUGUGGAUUUCCAAUUUCUUGUUCCGGAAAUCCCUGGCUUGAAUAAAGUGAGAAUGACUUUUCCUUUA